rnacentral:rRNA from 1 species
UAGGGAAUCUUCCGCAAUGGACGAAAGUCUGACGGAGCAACGCCGCGUGAGUGAAGAAUGAUUUCGGUUCGUAAAACUCUGUGGUGAGGGAAGAAAAAAUGUAUAGUAACUAUAUACAAAAGAGACGGUACCUAACCAGAAAGCCACGGCUAACUACGUGCCAGCAGCCGCGGUAAUACGUAGGUUGCAAGCGUUGUCCGGAAUUAUUGGGCGUAAAGCGCGCGCAGGUGGUUUAGAAAGUCUGAUGUGAAAGCCCACGGCUCAACCGUGGAGGGUCAUUGGAAACUAAUAAACUUGAGUGCAGGAGAGCAAAGUGGAAUUCCUAGUGUAGCGGUGAAAUGCGUAGAGAUUAGGAGGAACACCGGUGGCGAAAGCGGCUUUUUGGCCUGCAACUGACACUGAGGCGCGAAAGCGUGGGGAGCAAACAGG